UACGUAGGAGACGAGCGUUGUCCGGAAUUAUUGGGCGUAAAGAGCUUGUAGGCGGUUUGUCGCGUCUGCCGUGAAAAUUCGAGGCUCAACCUCGAACUUGCGGUGGGUACGGGGCAGACUAGAGUGUGGUAGGGGAGACUGGAAUUCCUGGUGUAGCGGUGGAAUGCGCAGAUAUCAGGAGGAACACCGAUGGCGAAGGCAGGUCUCUGGGCCAACUACUGACGCUGGAGAAGCGAAAAGCAUGGGGGAGCGAAACAGG
rnacentral:rRNA from 1 species